UUAAACUUAUUUAUUUUACCAAUAAUUUUUUUUUGCUAAAUUAAAAAAUAGCCUCUUUAGUAACUUUGAGUCACCUUGAGUUUGCUUUGAGUUUUUAUAUUAGCUAUUAUAAUUACUAUAUAGAAUAUGUGCUGUCCUCGUUUAACGCCACUUCGGCGUCUUUCAAUGCCAAACGUGGUUGACCGAGAAGUAAAUAACACUUGCUUCUAGAAACCAAAGCCGUUUUGUCAUUGGGGCUCAAUUCCAGUGCCUUCAAAUAAAAAUAAUAAAUUAAAAAUCAUCGCAUGCCAGAGUUGUACUGUUGUAGUGUUGUUCAUACAACAUUAAUAAGUAGGUACCCAAAUGUGUCCAAUAUCAUCAAUGACCAUCAUUCGGAAUCAAAAAAAUGUACAUAAUUGUGAUUAUGGAUCAUGGAAUUAACCUGUAUGGUUCAAUGGUUGUAUACAUUUAAACUACUAAAAAAAGUUAAAAACAAAAUUCGAAUAAUUAUUUAUAUCUAUUUGUUUAAUAAACGCGAAAAAUAAAAAAAAAUGUUUACCUAACCUGAUCACUGUUAUAUUUAAAUUUGUAAUUUUUUAUAAGUACUUUUUAACUAUUUAAUUUUAUUUAUUGAUCAUAUUACUUUAACUUUAUGGAUUGAAAGAGUAAACAAAUAAAAAAAAUAAUAUUGCCAGUCGCCAGAAAUUAAUCAUAAAAUAGAAAUAGCUAUUGAAAUAUCAUACAAUUGUGUAUUUUAGUUUUCUAAUAAUUAUUGAUAGAUUUCAGUGUAAUUUGCAAGAGAUUCAGGAUUCAGGAUAUCAGGAUUCAGAUACAGGAAAUAAAAAUUUAUUUUCAUAUUAUUAUUUAAUAUUUAUAAGAAAAUGUUUAAAUAAUACAAAGUUUAUAAAAAAAUGAAUAAAAUUAUGAUGGAUUACUUAUUUUAUAUAGGUUUGUUUUACGAUGUACCUUAGUACUUAUAUACUUUGAUGUAUAAGACAUCGAGUGUUUACCUGGGAGAGGAUAAUUUGCGCCACUAAUAGAUAGGUACAUUUUAGCACAUACCUAUGUAAUUUGUGCUAAAAUAUACAAAUAUAACAUGUAUAUUUUGCGCUAAUCUAAAAAUUAAUUUUGUAAUUUACGCCACUGUCGUCACGACAGAAAACGAAAUGGAAUGUGUAAUCUGCGCUACACUUUUAACUUAAAUUGUUGGAAUUCACCAGAUGAUAAAUCUACUAAUAUCGCAUCAGCUAUAAAAUAAUA